CACUAGUUGUAAACAUCGGGAUGUCAAAAAUUACGAUAAUAUUGAUAUUGUUACCAAACAAAUUAUUAAAGUAUACUCGUCGCGUGUAUAAUUACUUUAGUUUUUCUAUGUUAAUACUAUGAAGUACAAAACAUCAACAAUAUCGGCGUAUUAUCAAAGUGAAACUUGGCAUAACCUAAAAAUUUAGUGUAAGUUUGUGUUAAAAUUUCGUGUUUUGUGAAUUAUUUCUGGUGUAUUGUGAUGAAAAUUCAAGUGAAUCUGUUUUUGUGAUGUCGUGAUGUGUUAGUGUUGUAUAUGAAAUGGAUUGCCAGUGAGUAGCGGGGCUGCUUUGGACCAAUUUAUCUACCAAGCAGAAAAGGGAAAAAUAAUCUGCUCCUCUAUAACAGCCAUACAUACAGUCGUGGAGUUCCCGGGAAUUACUACUGCUCCAAAAGAACCAUGAUGAAGUGUAGAGCAAAAGUGAAAUUGGAUGAAAUGAACAAUAUCAUACUUGUUGAAGAGGGGAUUCAUAACCACGAACCGCCUGUGUUUCACAUUAGCAGCAACGGAGAGGCCCAUCUUUCUAACCACUAGAAGAAACAGGAGGAUUCUCCUGUACCAAGGGUUCACAUACAGCCGCGUAAACCCAGGACAAUACUGCUGUUCCAGACGACUCGU